UUUUUUUUUUUUUUUUUUUUUUUUUUUUUUAGCUAGCUGGAAUAAUAGAAUUAUGUUCCCAAAGCGUUGAGAGGAAAUGGAGAGUUUGUUUAUGGCCUAUCUUCUGCUAAUACCAGUCUGUAGCUUGUCUACAAUGGGGUAGUAGUCACCUGAGGUUUGUCACAAUUCUGAACUCCCGAUUUGCUUUCCUGUCCUCACCCCCAACUGUGAGUUAUCAGGAGUUGUGAUAAUAAAUAAAUAAAUAAAUAAAAAUUUAAAAAAAAGAUUCUCCUUCUUGCUUGCUAUCCCUCCCAUUUUGGCAGAAGUCCAGAGUCUAUCAGUCCUCUGCAAUCGUAGAUUUCACACUUUUUAAAACUACCCAUGAUACCUCUGCAAACAAAUGACUCCCCCCAUUGCAUUCCCGUAUUACCCAAUAAAACGUCUUACGACGGCUGAAGACUUUUUCUUACAAGAAAUAAACAAAAACGUCUGACAGCAUAGUAGAUGAGUUCCAUGCCCAAGUGCUACUCAAUUGCCUGAGCUUGAAUUGAAUUGUGUGACUUAAACGCGCUCUGGUACAAUCUCUGGGUGCCCUCUGAACUUCAGGCUCUUGCUGUAACAGUAGUCUGUCUUGCACUAGAGUUGUUUAUAUGUUUGUCUUUCUCUUUCACUAGAUUGUAAGUGCAACAGAGCCCAAGACCUAGUCUUGUUCUUGUUUGUACAUGCUAUAGCACCUAACAAGGAAUGUAUGAUGUUUGUUGUUUCAUUGAAUUUGUGAAAUAUAAAUAAUAGUAUCUAUUCCGAUCCUCAUGUCCUCUUCCCCACCUCAUCUUCCAAUCCCUUGCUCAUAAAACAUGUUUAUAAAAAACAUCUUCCAUACUUAGAAAGAACUUUGAUUCCCAUGAGACCUCAGAACAAUUGUUUAUUAAAACUAGCCAUAAUUUUUAGUGAAUCAUCACUAUGAUAAUGUAAAAUGAAAAGGUAGAGGAGGCGGUAAAUAAGUUGGCUCAAUGACACAAAUUAAGAAAGGAAGAAGAAGGAAAGAAAAAAGAAGGCAAAGAUAUAGGAACUAGGUAUAUUACCAAGAGAGAACAACAAGGAAAAAAUAUGUGGGUGCAGAUCAUAAAGGGGAAGGAAAUUAUUGAAAUUUAGUGGAAGUAGAAAUAACAUACCGUGAAUGGAUGAGGCAAGGAAACACCAAAAAUGUCAGCAGAAUCAUAAAUGCAGCAUGGAAAAGUAAAGAAAAUGACAAAUUAUAUAUUUAACAAUAUAACCUAGGAAUAAUCAGAACAAUAUGACUGCUACAAGACAAGAAUUUCUAUUUUUGUCUGCCUUUUCUUCCACAGUUUUCAAAGUACUCACUUUUUUCAUAAGUAAACUGCAUAAAAGUGGGAGAUUCUAUACUAUUUUUGAGUUAAUACUACUAGCAUACAUCAUGAGAUUAGAGGUAACAGUAUGGUAAAAAAGAGCUAUAGAAUAUAAGCAAAUAAAUAUGAUGUGAAGUGGUCUCUGUAAGUUACUGUGUGACCUCAAACAAGUCACUAAAUAUCGCAAUUUCCUCAUCUGUGUAAUUGUUGCAAGACUCAAAAUGGUGUAAAUAAAUGUACUUUGUUAACUAUCAAGCUCUUUAUACAGAUGUAAGGGAAUAUUAUUAUGUCAGCUAAUAUGUAGCACAGUUAUCUCUGUUUUGGUGCAUUCCUAAAUUGCCAAAGCAAAAAUCUAUAGUUCAUUCUAUUAAAAUGUAAUCAUAGGGUGGGGGCGUCAGUUAAAACAUUUGUUUGUCAAUUUGAUUAUUGAACGACUGUGAUGAAAUGUUUCAUUCUUAUUGUUUGCUCUCUUCUAAAUCCCUUAAAUAGUAUAACUACAAUAAACAAAUGUCUAAUAUAA
rnacentral:lncRNA from 1 species